GAUGCAAACCUGUUGUGUAUUUGAGAGGCCCCAGGCAAGCACACAGAUGGAGACCACAUACCAUCUGUCCCAACCAAGUUAACAAACUACUCAAAGAACGACGUAGCUUUCUGCCCUGACGUAGACGCGCCCACAGGACCUGAGCAGACGAAUUUGGACUCCUCAGAUCGCAUGAGAACGUGGUGGCCUGGGGAGAGAGCACAGCCAUCACCGAGCACCGAGCACCGGGCUCACUGCCAGCUCUGUGGGGGCUCUGACGGGACUGGCAGCUCCCCAGCCUCCACUUGAGUCUAGGAACCUUUGCACUGACGCUGUUGGCAGGCAAAAUAGUUCAUCUGGGUAGUGCACCUGCUUCGACACACACAGGACUCGAGUUUAAGCCUGGUCCUCGUAGCACUGGGAGCAAUUUCAGGUCAAAUCUCAGCUUUAGAAUCACCCCCAAAGCUGCAGACAGAGGGAGCAGACCAAGAGGCUGCCCUGACCAGGAAGAAGCAUAGGAGCCGCCUUCACAGCACGUCAUCGUCAUCGUUGACAUUCGCUCCUCUAACCUCACUUGCUCCUCAGAGGUGCUGUGCUGUGUAGACUGAUUGAUUCCGGUUUAAAGCGGCUCUUAUGCGAGGCUACAGGCUAGCUGCCUGCAACAGGUGGAGCCCAAACUGGUGCAAUUUCCACCCCAAAUGAUACACGCAGCAGAUAAGACAACAGCCUUUUCUUUUCCUUUGUUUUCUCUUCUUUUCCUCUUCCUUCCUUCCUUCCUUCCUUCCUUCCUUCCUUCCUUCCUUCCUUCCUUUCUUUCUUUCUUUCUUUCUUUCUUUCUUUCUUUCUUUCUUUCUUUCUUACCAGAACACUAAUCAACUCUGGCUUACAGUGGUGGUGGGGGGGGCAUGGCAUGGGGUGGGGGAGGGAGGACUGAACUUAAGAUUUCAGAGCUCUGGGCACCACGAGAAAGUCUCUUUGUAGAACCAUUAUGCUACCUACCCCCACCCAGACCAUAAGCCCUUCUGCGGAAGCAUCACUGUGAUUCCCCUCUAACUUUCCCAAUGGCGCUGGUAUAAGGGAGCCAGCCGUGUGAUUUUUGAGCAGAAGGGCAAGGGAAGGACAGUGGCCGCGGCAGCUGGAAUGGAGGAGGAAGUGAAGUGGUGAGGCACUACCCUAAACCCUGCAGAGAGCUCCCUGAUGGAGAUCCCAGCAGCUGGGCGGCUGUGAUGAAGUGAAGGGGCAGGACGCUGUCCAAGGAUGUCCAGGAGGUGUGGGAAGCCAGCGACAGUGGGAAAGGACAUGGACUGCCAGUUUCAUAGCAGUUUGAACUGUGACUUGACCACUCCGUGCCUCCGUUUGCCUACGUGAAAUAAAUCUGACACCAAUCGUA